rnacentral:ribozyme from 12 species
CACAGGAGAAAAAAAAAAAAAAACAAGAAAAAAAGAAAAAAAGAAGCAGGAAAUGGACACGUGGUUCGAAUGAUUUCUCGUAUCGUUAGAUCCCUGAUCCAUUUUUCUUCUUUUUUUUCUUUAUAUUGUCCUGCCGGACUACACUUUUCCUUUUUUUGAUUUAUUUUAUCUUUUCGUUUAUUGGCUUCUGCAAAGAAGAGAAGCCGAAAAAAAAAAAAAA